rnacentral:rRNA from 1 species
UACGUAGGGGCUAGCGUUAUCCGGAAUUACUGGGCGUAAAGGGUGCGUAGGUGGUUUCUUAAGUCAGAGGUUAAAGGCUACGGCUCAACCGUAGUAAGCCUUUGAAACUGGGAAACUUGAGUGCAGGAGAGGAGAGUGAAAUUCCUAGUGUAGCGGUGAAAUGCGUAGAUAUUAGGAGGAACACCAGUUGCGAAGGCGGCUCUCUGGACUGUAACUGACACUGAGGCACGAAAGCGUGUGGAGCAAACAGGAUUAGAUACCCUGGUAGUCCCUGAG